rnacentral:rRNA from 1 species
UGGGGAAUAUUGGACAAUGGGCGAAAGCCUGAUCCAGCCAUGCCGCGUGAGUGACGAAGGCCUUAGGGUUGUAAAACUCUUUCGUCGGGGACGAUAAUGACGGUACCCGAAGAAGAAGCUCCGGCUAACUUCGUGCCAGCAGCCGCGGUAAUACGUAGGGACCAAGCGUUGUUCGGAUUUACUGGGCGUAAAGGGCGCGUAGGCGGUGUGUCAAGUCAGUUGUGAAAUCUCCGAGCUUAACUCGGAACGGUCAACUGAUACUGUCACACUAGAGUACAGAAGGGGCAAUCGGAAUUCUUGGUGUAGCGGUGAAAUGCGUAGAUAUCAAGAGGAACACCUGAGGCGAAGGCGGGUUGCUGGGCUGAUACUGACGCUGAGGUGCGAAAGCGUGGGGAGCAAACAGGAUUAGAUACCCGGGUAGUCCCUGAGCGGGCUGGCAAGGCGCAU